GAUAUCUCGAGAUCCUUAUCCUUGGAAGUGAUCUUAGUACCGAUGAUAUAUUUGGGUGAGUAACUUCCUUCUUUGAAAGAUCCGUUACUCGAUUACCCGUUACUCGAUUACCCAUUACUCAGCCUUUAUUAUUAUUUUAGUUAUUAUAAUAUCAAUGCUUACCUCUUGUAGAACUUAUUCAAUUACUCUUACCUCAUAGAUCGAGUUGCUAGACUUGACUCUAUGUGCGCUUCCUAGGAUGUUCUGACAUUAAACCGACUCAAGGCCCGACUUGCUUGAACCUUGAUCGCUAACUCUGAUCAAGUGGUGAGACGACAAUCAUAUCAAUUAUAUAUCUUAGACUCCCUAAAAACAUGUAAAGUACCUUUAAUAUAAUCAUCUAAGUCCUUUUGGAUCAUAAAAAUAGGUUUUGGAGCCUUAAAUAAGAGGGAAAAUAACCUUGGCAUAACUGACUUCUACUGCCGAAGUCAUGAACCUCAAGUGUUGUUUUCAUGUAAUAGCUAGUGUGAUUGCCAAAGUCCUGAACUCCAAAACUCUUUGAGGUAUAGAAGUUACUCUAGCAGUUGAACUUGGAAAUUUCCAAUUCUAAUUUUGUAGCAAUUUCAACUCCAAAACCACUCAAAAAACCUCUCAGAGCCCCAUAAAUACUAUCCAACCAUAAAGACACACUUCUAAGACAUGCAUUAACUUGGAAACAUACUUGGAUGCUUCAUGCAUCCAUCAAACAUCAAAGAAUCAAAUUUUCCUUCAAACUUGAUUUAAAGCAACAAAAGGUAGCCUACAUAAAAUUGAACUUUAACCUUAAUUUCUUCAAAAUCUAACCUAAUCAUGCUUAUAAACUACCUAAACAUGUUAAGAAUUCACAAUAAGACAUUUUAUUGCAACAUCAUCAAAAACCUCAUACAUGCAACAACUCUCUCAAACUAUAAAGGUUUAAAAAUCAACUCAAAUUGUUAUAUGCAUUUAAAACAACUUAUCAUAUACCAUGAAAGCCUUCUUGAAAAUAAUUUUGAUGCUUAAAAAAGAAAAGAAAGAUAAAGUACCUUUCUCCCUUGAAUUAGGAGUGAAGGGAUUUAACAAAAAUCUAAGAAUUUCCUUAGCUCGUGGUGUUAGAAUCUCCUCCAAGAUCUUCUAGCACCCAAGACAAGCAAAUUGCCCAAAGAAAUUCAAACUAAACCCUCUACAUGUAACAGUAGCUUAAGGAGAGAGAGAAAAAUCAUUUUUCUUUGAAAUUUAGACUGAAAUGGGCUAUUUAUAUCCCUACUAUCAAGGGGACGUGCUGAAGGCUGCCAGAGUCCAUUCUGUCCAAAAGGACAUUCGAACAAUAAAAAGGGACUUUAGUUGUCGAAAGUCCAACCUUUGAUUGCCCAAGUUCUUU
rnacentral:misc_RNA from 1 species